GUAGGUGGCAAGCACCAUCCAAAACUAUCAAACAUAAAGCGCGCGCAGGGCAAACCCCCUUAAGUCUAAUACAAAAGCCCACGGGCUCAACCACAAAAAAUCAUUGGAAACUAAAGAACUUGAACACAGAAGAGGAAAACAAAAUUCCACGUGUAGCAACAAAAUGCGUAGAGAUGUGGAGGAACACCAGUGGCGAAGGCGGCUUUCUGGUCUGUAACUGACGCUGAGGCGCGAAAGCGUGGGGAGCAAACAGGAUUAGAUACCCUGGUGGUCCACGCCGUAAACGAUGAGUGCUAAGUGUUAGGGGGUUUCCGCCCCUUAGUGCUGCAGCUAACGCAUUAAGCACUCCGCCUGGGGAGUACGGCCGCAAAGGCUGA
rnacentral:rRNA from 1 species